rnacentral:rRNA from 1 species
GACGAACGCUGGCGGCGUGCUUAACACAUGCAAGUCGAACGGAAAGACCCUGCUUUUGUGGGGUGCUCGAGUGGCGAACGGGUGAGUAACACGUGAGUAACCUGCCCUUGACUUUGGGAUAACUUCAGGAAACUGGGGCUAAUACCGGAUAGGAGCUCCAGCUGCAUGGUGGGGGUUGGAAAGUUUCGGCGGUUGGGGAUGGACUCGCGGCUUAUCAGCUUGUUGGUGGGGUAGUGGCUUACCAAGGCUUUGACGGGUAGCCGGCCUGAGAGGGUGACCGGCCACAUUGGGACUGAGAUACGGCCCAGACUCCUACGGGAGGCAGCAGUGGGGAAUAUUGCACAAUGGGCGGAAGCCUGAUGCAGCAACGCCGCGUGCGGGAUGACGGCCUUCGGGUUGUAAACCGCUUUCGCCUGUGACGAAGCGUGAGUGACGGUAAUGGGUAAAGAAGCACCGGCUAACUACGUG